rnacentral:lncRNA from 1 species
CGCUACAGUAAUCACAUCAACAACAAACACAACGGUAUCAUAACAUAAUAAAUUUGUAAAUUACAAAGUCACUAGGUAUUUAAAAUAAAACAGUUGUGCUAAUGCAAACAGUUUGAAGGCAAAAUGUAUGAACAUUGAAAAAGGUUGACAAAUUUAUGACAAAUCAGGCUUAGGAUUGUUUUUAUACAAGUAUGGAGUAAUUGAGUACAAGGAGAAAAUUAUCAAGCAUGAAAUCAGAC